rnacentral:lncRNA from 1 species
CGAGAGCCACCCCUAUAAAUUUCCCAUCUCAUGGAUGACCCUUCUUUUAAUUCGCCCACUUCGCAAGACCAUUAGCGAUAGGAUCCGACUGCCAAAAAAAAGAAAAAAAAAAAAACCCACAAACCCUAGAAAAAACCCCUAAUUUCGUUUUUGCGCCUGUUCGACGAAUUUGGAUCGCGUCAAGGAGUGAUUUUGAAGAGAUUUUCAAUCGUUUCGCUUCGUGAGGGUUCGAUUGGUAUCGUUUUUUGAAAGGUGAAUUGGAGAGGAGAUGGUGGCGGGAGCGGAGAUUAUGCAUCAGAGCAUGCCGGUGCUGGACGUGCAGUACCGGUGCAUCACCAA